rnacentral:ribozyme from 13 species
CAACCCCACAAAAGUCUCAAAAAAGGUUAAAAUGAGUCCAAAUGUAAACCGCGAGAGGAGAACGGGUCUCAUUUUGUUGUCUGAAAAUCCAUGCCAGAUUGUUUUGAAUGGGAAUAAGUGAAAUUCUUCUUUUUCUUUUUCUUUUUCUUUCUCUCGUUUGGGUUGAU